GGCCUCGCAAAUAUGAGGGUGUGGUUUGCUGGCACAGCGUCCGCCCCAAGUAUUUUUCACCCAUGUCUUUUGCGCACUUUUUGUUUCCUGGGCGAGUUCGCUCGCCACCAGGACCCAACCAUAAACCUUUUUUUAUGCAGUUGCAAUCAGCGUCAGUAUAAUAAUUCAAUUUAUUAAAACUUUCAACAACGGAUCUCUUGGUUCUGGCAUCGAUGAAGAACGCAGCGAAAUGCGAUACGUAGUGUGAAUUGCAGAAUUCAGUGAAUCAUCGAAUCUUUGAACGCACAUUGCGCCCUUUGGUAUUCCAAAGGGCAUGCCUGUUCGAGCGUCAUUUGUACCCUCAAGCUUUGCUUGGUGUUGGGCGUCUUUUUGUCUCUCCCCUUGUUGGGGGAGACUCGCCUUAAAACGAUUGGCAGCCGACCUACUGGUUUUCGGAGCGCAGCACAAAUUUGCGCCUUCCAAUCCACGGGGCGGCAUCCAGCAAGCCUUUGUUUUCUAUAACAAAUCCACAUUUUGACCUCGGAUCAGGUAGGGAUACCCGCUGAACUUAAGCAUAUCAAUAGCCGGGAGGAAAAA
rnacentral:rRNA from 1 species